rnacentral:rRNA from 1 species
UACGUAGGUGGCAAGCGUUGUCCGGAUUUAUUGGGCGUAAAGCGCGCGCAGGCGGUCCUUUAAGUCUGAUGUGAAAGCCCACGGCUCAACCGUGGAGGGUCAUUGGAAACUGGGGGACUUGAGUGCAGAAGAGGAAAGCGGAAUUCCACGUGUAGCGGUGAAAUGCGUAGAGAUGUGGAGGAACACCAGUGGCGAAGGCGGCUUUCUGGACUGUAACUGACGCUGAGGCAUGAAAGCGUGGGGAGCAAACAGG